rnacentral:rRNA from 1 species
AUUGAACGCUGGCGGCAUGCUUUACACAUGCAAGUCGAACGGUAACAGGCCGCAAGGUGCUGACGAGUGGCGAACGGGUGAGUAAUGCAUCGGAACGUGCCCAGUCGUGGGGGAUAACGCAGCGAAAGUUGCGCUAAUACCGCAUACGAUCUAUGGAUGAAAGCGGGGGACCGUAAGGCCUCGCGCGAUUGGAGCGGCCGAUGUCAGACUAGGUAGUUGGUGGGGUAAAGGCUCACCAAGCCGACGAUCUGUAGCUGGUCUGAGAGGACGACCAGCCACACUGGGACUGAGACACGGCCCAGACUCCUACGGGAGGCAGCAGUGGGGAAUUUUGGACAAUAGGCGCAAGCCUGAUCCAGCAAUGCCGCGUGCAGGAAGAAGGCCUUUGGGUUGUAAACUGCUUUUGUACGGAACGAAACGGUCCUGGUUAAUACCCGGGGCUAAUGACGGUACCGUAAGAAUAAGCACCGGCUAACUACGUGCCAGCCGCCGCAGUAA